CCCGCUGAGUUUAAGCAUAUCAAUAAGCGGAGGAAAAGAAACUUACCAGGAUUCCCCUAGUAACGGCGAGCGAACAGGGAAAAGCACAGCUUGAGAAUCAGGCGCCACCAGCGUUUGAAUUGUAGUCUGGAGAAGCGUCCUCAGCGACGGACUGGGCCCAAGUCCCUUGGAAAGGGGCGCCGGAGAGGGUGAGAGCUCGGACCCUGUUACACCACGAGGCGCUAUCUAUGAGUCGGGUUGUUUGGGAUGCAGCCUUAAUCGGGCGGUAAAUUUCGUCCAAGGCUAAAUACGGGCGAGAGACCGAUAGCGAACAAGUACCGCGAGGGAAAAUGAAAAGGACUUUGAAAAGAGAGUCAAAGAGUGCUUGAAAUUAUCGGGAGGGAAGCGAAUGGGGGUCGAUGAUGCACCCAGGUCGAAUGUGGAACUGUGAGAGCCAGUCCGUCAAUCGGCUCGGGGCAUGGACCGACGGGGUCGUGGCAGUGGCCCAAGCCCGGGCCUUUUAUAUGCCUGUGGAGAAUUUGCCUCCUCGAUCGUGGGAUCCAGCACGCGCUGUCUCGGCGUGCUUCGGCACCUGUAUGCUCCGGGCGUCGGCCUACGGGCUCCCCAUUCGGCCCGUCUUGAAACACGA
rnacentral:ncRNA from 1 species